UACGAAGGGUGCAAGCGUUACUCGGAAUUACUGGGCGUAAAGCGUGCGUAGGUGGUUCGUUAAGUCUGAUGUGAAAGCCCUGGGCUCAACCUGGGAACUGCAUUGGAUACUGGCGAUCUGGAGUGCGGUAGAGGGUGGCGGAAUUCCCGGUGUAGCAGUGAAAUGCGCAGAUAUCGGGAAGAACACCCGUGGCGAAGGCGGCUCUCUGGAACGCAACUGACGCUGAGACGCGAAAGCGUGGGGAGCAAACAGG
rnacentral:rRNA from 1 species